rnacentral:rRNA from 1 species
GAUGAACGCUAGCUACAGGCUUAACACAUGCAAGUCGAGGGGUAACGAGAGGAAAGCUUGCUUUCCUUGUCGACGACCGGCGCACGGGUGAGUAACGCGUAUCCAACCUGCCCCCAACUAGGGAAUAACCUUGCGAAAGUAAGACUAAUACCCUAUAAUUUCCUCAGAUGACAUCUGACGAGGAAUAAAGAUUUAUCGGUUGUGGAUGGGGAUGCGUCUGAUUAGCUUGUUGGCGGGGUAACGGCCCACCAAGGCAACGAUCAGUAGGGGUUCUGAGAGGAAGGUCCCCCACAUUGGAACUGAGACACGGUCCAAACUCCUCCGGGAGGCAGCAGUGAGGAAUAUUGGUCAAUGGGCGGAAGCCUGAACCAGCCAAGUAGCGUGCAGGAUGACGGCCCUAUGGGUUGUAAACUGCUUUUAUACGGGAAUAAAGUUAGCCACGUGUGGUUAUUUGUAGGUACUGUAUGAAUAAGGACCGGCUAAUUCCGUGCCAGCCGCCGCGGUAA